rnacentral:rRNA from 1 species
UACGUAGGGGGCAAGCGUUGUCCGGAAUUAUUGGGCGUAAAGAGCGUGUAGGCGGUCCGGUAAGUCAGCUGUGAAAGUCAAGGGCUCAACCCUUGAAAGCCGGUUGAUACUGUCGGGCUAGAGUCCGGAAGAGGCGAGUGGAAUUCCCGGUGUAGCGGUGAAAUGCGCAGAUAUCGGGAGGAACACCAAUGGCGAAGGCAGCUCGCUGGGACGGUACUGACGCUGAGACGCAAAAGCGUGGGGAGCGAACAGG